GAUGAAGAACGUAGCGAAAUGCGAUAAGUAGUGUGAAUUGCAGAAUUCAGUGAAUCAUCGAAUCUUUGAACGCACAUUGCGCCCCUUGGUAUUCCAUGGGGCAUGCCUGUUCGAGCGUCAUUUGUACCUUCAAGCUUUGCUUGGUGUUGGGUGUUUGUCCAUUCUCUUGCAGAGGGACUCGCCUUAAAGUAAUUGGCAGCCAGUGUUUUGGUUUUGAAGCGCAGCACAAGUCGCGAUUCAACGCUAUACGCCAGCUUCCACAAGCCUUUUUCACUUUUGACCUCGGAUCAGGUAGGGAUACCCACUGAACUUAAGCAUAUCAAUAAGCGGAGGA
rnacentral:misc_RNA from 1 species